rnacentral:rRNA from 1 species
UACGGAGGGGGCUAGCGUUGUUCGGAAUUACUGGGCGUAAAGCGCACGUAGGCGGCUUUGUAAGUUAGAGGUGAAAGCCCAGGGCUCAACCCUGGAAUUGCCUUUAAGACUGCAUCGCUUGAACAUCGGAGAGGUAAGUGGAAUUCCGAGUGUAGAGGUGAAAUUCGUAGAUAUUCGGAAGAACACCAGUGGCGAAGGCGGCUUACUGGACGAUUGUUGACGCUGAGGUGCGAAAGCGUGGGGAGCAAACAGG